rfam:Schistosoma mansoni, Puerto Rico, WGS project CABG01000000 data, contig: 0135
CAGUUGCUGAGGAGUCCCACAACAAGAUGAAACGGCCGUCCAGUGC